GGUCAGUGAUGUCAUGGCAUGUAUUAGCUGAAUCUCCACUGAUGUGCGUUCCAAAAUUACACUGAGACCUG